GACGAACGCUGGCGGCGUGCUUAACACAUGCAAGUCGAACGGAGAGGCCCUGCUUUUGUGGGGUGCUCGAGUGGCGAACGGGUGAGUAACACGUGAGUAACCUGCCCUUGACUUUGGGAUAACUUCAGGAAACUGGGGCUAAUACCGGAUAGGAGCUCCUGCUGCAUGGUGGGGGUUGGAAAGUUUCGGCGGUUGGGGAUGGACUUGCGGCUUAUCAGCUUGUUGGUGGGGUAGUGGCUUACCAAGGCUUUGACGGGUAGCCGGCCUGAGAGGGUGACCGGCCACAUUGGGACUGAGAUACGGCCCAGACUCCUACGGGAGGCAGCAGUGGGGAAUAUUGCACAAUGGGCGGAAGCCUGAUGCAGCAACGCCGCGUGCGGGAUGACGGCCUUCGGGUUGUAAACCGCUUUCGCCUGUGACGAAGCGUGAGUGACGGUAAUGGGUAAAGAAGCACCGGCUAACUACGUG
rnacentral:rRNA from 1 species